rnacentral:ncRNA from 1 species
AGAUGAAUAUCUUAAAUUUGACUCUAGUUUAUUAAGAUUAUUAUUGGGUAGAUUUAAUAUGUAAAUUUAUGUGUGUUGUAAGGUAAUCUUUAAAUAAGAUACUAAUGUUAUUUUAUACGCAGUUUAUAUUUUUAUUUAAUUUAGUAAUUUAAGAUAUAGUUAAUUCAUAAUAUUUAACUAGCAAAGGUUGUGCCAGCAGCUGCGGUUACACAAUCUAGUUAAAAUAAUCUUUAUUGGAAUUUUAUUUAUUAGAUAAUUUAAUUGGCUUUGAUUUUAUAAUUUUUAAGUGAAAUUUAAAUUUUAAUUAUUAAGUUUGGUUUAAUUCAGGAAUAUAAUACACUCCAACAGAUAGACUAGGAUUAGAUACCCUAUUAUUAAGAGUAUAAAUUUUAAUUCCUAGUAUUAUAAGCUAUGAUCUUUAAAUUGAAAGAGUUUGACGGUAAUAUUUAAUCAUAUUAGAGGAACCUGUUCUGUAAUUGAUAAUCCACGAUAAAUUUUACCUUUAAAUAUUAUUGUUUGUAUACCUCUGUUUGAUGAAUGUUUUAUUAGAAUAUUUUCUUUAAUUUUUAUUGGAAAUUAUAUCAGGUCAAGGUGCAGCUUUUAAGGGUCAGAAAUGGGUUACAUUUAAUUUUUAUUAUUGGAUUAUAACUUGUAUUAGUUAUAUAAAAUUGGAUUUAAUUGUAAUGGAUAAUAUAUUUUAUUCAUGAUACAUGUCCUUUAUUAAGUACACAUCGCCCGUCGCUCUCAUUAUAAGAUGAGAUAAGUCGUAACAAAGUAGUCCUACCGGAAGGUGGGGCUGGAUAUAUA